UACUGUGAUGAAAACCUUGUGUAGGAAGUGCCGUCCGAUGCGAGAACUGACGAUGGCUUGUAACAAUUUCUGAGC
rnacentral:snoRNA from 1 species